CUGGGGAAACCCAGGCUAAUACCGCAUACGUCCUACGGGAGAAAGGGGGCUCCGGCUCCCGCUAUGGGAUGAGCCUAUGUCGGAUUAGCUAGUUGGUGAGGUAACGGCUCACCAAGGCCACGAUCCGUAGCUGGUCUGAGAGGAUGAUCAGCCACAUCGGGACUGAGACACGGCCCGAACUCCUACGGGAGGCAGCAGUGGGGAAUAUUGGACAAUGGGCGAAAGCCUGAUCCAGCCAUGCCGCGUGUGUGAAGAAGGCCCUCGGGUUGUAAAGCACUUUCAGCGAGGAAGAACGCCUAGCGGUUAAUACCCGCUAGGAAAGACAUCACUCGCAGAAGAAGCACCGGCUAACUCCGUGCCAGCAGCCGCGGUAAUACGGAGGGUGCAAGCGUUAAUCGGAAUUACUGGGCGUAAAGCGCGCGUAGGUGGCUUGAUAAGCCGGUUGUGAAAGCCCCGGGCUCAACCUGGGAACGGCAUCCGGAACUGUCAAGCUAGAGUGCAGGAGAGGAAGGUAGAAUUCCCGGUGUAGCGGUGAAAUGCGUAGAGAUCGGGAGGAGUACCAGUGGCGAAGGCGGCCUUCUGGACUGACACUGACACUGAGGUGCGAAAGCGUGGGUAGCAAACAGGAUUAGAUACCCUGGUAGUCCACGCCGUAAACGAUGUCGACCAGCCGUUGGGUGCCUAGCGCACUUUGUGGCGAAGUUAACGCGAUAAGUCGACCGCCUGGGGAGUACGGCCGCAAGGUUAAAACUCAAAUGAAUUGACGGGGGCCCGCACAAGCGGUGGAGCAUGUGGUUUAAUUCGAUGCAACGCGAAGAACCUUACCUACUCCUGACAUCCUGCGAAUUCGGUAGAGAUACCUUAGUGCCUUCGGGAACGCAGAGACAGGUGCUGCAUGGCUGUCGUCAGCUCGUGUUGUGAAAUGUUGGGUUAAGUCCCGUAACGAGCGCAACCCUUGUCCUUAUUUGCCAGCGCGUAAUGGCGGGAACUCUAAGGAGACUGCCGGUGACAAACCGGAGGAAGGUGGGGACGACGUCAAGUCAUCAUGGCCCUUACGAGUAGGGCUACACACGUGCUACAAUGGUCGGUACAAAGGGUUGCCAACUCGCGAGAGUGAGCCAAUCCCGAAAAGCCGAUCUCAGUCCGGAUCGGAGUCUGCAACUCGACUCCGUGAAGUCGGAAUCGCUAGUAAUCGUGGAUCAGAAUGCCACGGUGAAUACGUUCCCGG
rnacentral:rRNA from 1 species